GACGAACGCUGGCGGCGUGCUUAACACAUGCAGGUCGAACGAUGAAGCCGGAGCUUGCUCUGGUGAAUUAGUGGCGAACGGGUGAGUAACACGUGAGUAACCUGCCCUUGACUCUGGGAUAACUGCUAGAAAUGGUAGCUAAUACCGGAUACGACCCUCGGAGGCAUCUCCAGGGGGUGGAAAGGGUUUCGGUCAAGGAUGGACUCGCGGCCUAUCAGCUAGUUGGUGAGGUAACGGCUCACCAAGGCGACGACGGGUAGCCGGCCUGAGAGGGUGACCGGCCACACUGGGACUGAGACACGGCCCAGACUCCUACGGGAGGCAGCAGUGGGGAAUAUUGCACAAUGGGCGCAAGCCUGAUGCAGCAACGCCGCGUGAGGGAUGACGGCCUUCGGGUUGUAAACCUCUUUUAGUAGGGAAGAAGCGAAAGUGACGGUACCUGCAGAAAAAGCACCGGCUAACUACGUGCCAGCCGCCGCCGUAA
rnacentral:rRNA from 1 species